AGAACGAACGCUGGCGGCAUGCCUAACACAUGCAAGUCGAACGCUUGCCGAGGCUUCGGUUUCGGCAGGAGUGGCGCACGGGUGAGUAGCGCGUGGGAACCUGCCUUGGAGUGGGGGACAACCGAGGGAAACUUCGGCUAAUACCGCAUACGCCGGUUGUCUUGCAAGAGAUGGCCGGGAAAGAUUUAUCGCUCCGAGAGGGGCCCGCGUCGGAUUAGGUAGUUGGCGGGGUAACGGCCCACCAAGCCUGUGAUCCGUAGCUGGUCUGAGAGGAUGAUCAGCCACACUGGGACUGAGACACGGCCCAGACUCCUACGGGAGGCAGCAGUGGGGAAUAUUGGACAAUGGGCGCAAGCCUGAUCCAGCAAUGCCGCGUGAGUGAUGAAGGCCUUCGGGUUGUAAAGCUCUUUCGCCCGCGACGAUGAUGACGGUAGCGGGAGAAGAAGCCCCGGCUAACUUCGUGCCAGCAGCCGCGGU
rnacentral:rRNA from 1 species